UACGUAGGUGGCGAGCGUUGUCCGGAUUUACUGGGCGUAAAGGGAGCGUAGGCGGACUUUUAAGUGAGAUGUGAAAUACUCGGGCUCAACUUGAGUGCUGCAUUUCAAACUGGAAGUCUAGAGUGCAGGAGAGGAGAAUGGAAUUCCUAGUGUAGCGGUGAAAUGCGUAGUGAUUAGGAAGAACACCAGUGGCGAAGGCGAUUCUCUGGACUGUAACUGACGCUGAGGCUCGAAAGCGUGGGGAGCAAACAGG
rnacentral:rRNA from 1 species